rnacentral:lncRNA from 1 species
GGAAUUCCAGCUGGAGGCCAGGCACUCGGCCCCCACUCACUGCAGUCUGGAGGGAAGCUGAGAGGAAGCUCUUCUUUGGGGAAUGGAAACCGGGAGGUCAUUUUGAAGAGAAAUCAGCAGCACCUCCUGACCCUGCUGACUGCACCUCCAGGACCUGAGUUCUCUUUGGUCCACAGAUCCACAGUGAAGUCCCCAGCUCCUGGAAAAGGGAUCCUGCUGAGUGCUGGGAAGUUGCCAGUGUGUGUGAAUGGCUGGGUUAGCGCAGGUUUUCCCAGCCACCUCACAGAAAGCACCUUUGGGGGGAGCCUUCGGUUCUGGGUCCGGACUGCCACCUCUCAGAGAAGCCACGUAGUUCUUGGAGCACUGUCGGCAGGCAGAGCCACACCAAAGCAAUGCAGGCGGCCAGGACACACAGCGACAUCAUGAACUUCCCCUCUUCCCCAAAACCACCACAGACCUGGCUUCCUUUUCAGUUCGCCAAAGUCUGGAAAAUUAACCCGAGAGUCUAGGCAAAGGAAACUAUUUUCAGCGGCCUUGCUCUUGGGCAGCCCCUCUUCCCUUCCGGUGUCCCGGAAGUUCCCAGGUGUCAGGCGUAGGCACUCACAGUGACUUUUUGAGGGUGCGCAGCAUUGACCUCUACUUUGGAGGGUGCCAUACGGGUAUCAAAGGAAGCGUGUCCAGAGAAGGAGUCCGGGGCUCCGGCGCAGCCGCUGACCUCUGCGGCUUGGCGGGCUCCACAGAACCGAGACUGCGGGACCGGCCCUGCGCAGAGGCGGGCGGGCGCUGUCCACCCGGAGGUGCUGAAAUACAAGUCGCCUGGCGGAGCCGCCAGCAGGAGCUGCCGGUCCCCACCACCUCGGCCAGCGAGACGGGCUUCUCCGUGGAAGGAAAGCAGUUCCAGACGUCGUCAUCGCCCCCAAACCUCAAUGACUGCCUAACUGGUCUCGCUGCUUUUUGUUCCUCAGCCUUUGCUCCACCCAGUACUACUUACUCGAAGUGGGUUUGUCUUUCUUCUUUCUCCUCUUUCCUCUCUUCUCUCUUCUUUCUCCUCCCUCCCUCCCUCCAGCCCCGCUUCCUCCCGCCCUUCCUCCUCCUUUCCUCCCUCCCUUCUUCUUUCUUCUCUUCUAUGCUGAGGAUCCAAUCAGGGCCUCUCACAUGCCAGGCCAGUACUCUACCACUGAGCUACACUCAGCCCCAGAUUGACCUUUUCAAGAGACAAUUCUGAUCGUGCUUAAAGUCCUUCUAUAGUUUCAGAAUAAAACUCAAAGUUCUUGCCACAGCCAUGAGACCCUCUGUCUUCCUCAGUGGUCUAUGUCUGUCCACUUCCCCC